rnacentral:miRNA from 1 species
ACUCGGCGGCGAGUGUGUGUGU